GCAUAACGCGAAGAACCUUACCCACCUUUGACAUGUACGGAAUCCUGCAGAGAUGCGGGAGUGCUCGCAAGAGAGCCGUAACACAGGUGCUGCAUGGCUGUCGUCAGCUCGUGUCGUGAGAUGUUGGGUUAAGUCCCGCAACGAGCGCAACCCUUGCCAUCAGUUGCUACGAAAGGGCACUCUGAUGGGACUGCCGGUGACAAACCGGAGGAAGGUGGGGAUGACGUCAAGUCCUCAUGGCCCUUAUAGGUGGGGCUGCACACGUCAUACAAUGGCCGGUACAAAGGGCAGCGAAGCCGCGAGGUGAAGCCAAUCCCAUAAAGCCGGUCGUAGUCCGGAUCGCAGUCUGCAACUCGACUGCGUGAAGUCGAAAUCGCUAGUAAUCGUGGAUCAGCAUGUCACGGUGAAUACGUUCCCGGGUCUUGUACACACCG
rnacentral:rRNA from 1 species